AAUAUAUAACCUGUCCAUGUUUUUCAUGUAAAUUAAAUUUAUUACAAACAACAGCAUAUAAACGUUACUCCUUCGAGAAAGAGCAAGUGGGCUAGUGGUUCUCACCUCUGUUUGCCUUUUCACCAGAUCCGGGUUCGAGCCCGAUCCCUCUCAAAGAGAGACUUAUUAUUUGUAAUGAUGUCAAAAAAAAAAAAAACGUUACUCCUUCUGUUCAACUUUAUAAUAAAAAUUAUUAGAAAC
rnacentral:lncRNA from 1 species